rnacentral:rRNA from 1 species
GAUGAACGCUGGCGGCGUGCUUAACACAUGCAAGUCGAACGGAAAGGCUCCUGCUUGCAGGGGUACUCGAGUGGCGAACGGGUGAGUAACACGUGGGUGAUCUGCCCUGCACUUCGGGAUAAGCCUGGGAAACUGGGUCUAAUAUCGGAUAGGACGAUGGUUUGGAUGCCAUUGUGGAAAGUUUUUCGGUGUGGGAUGAGCUCGCGGCCUAUCAGCUUGUUGGUGGGGUAAUGGCCUACCAAGGCGUCGACGGGUAGCCGGCCUGAGAGGGUGUACGGCCACAUUGGGACUGAGAUACGGCCCAGACUCCUACGGGAGGCAGCAGUGGGGAAUAUUGCACAAUGGGCGCAAGCCUGAUGCAGCGACGCCGCGUGGGGGAUGACGGCCUUCGGGUUGUAAACUCCUUUCGCUAGGGACGAAGCGCAAGUGACGGUACCUGGAGAAGAAGCACCGGCUAACUACGUG